AUUCAUUCCACAAACAUUUCUAAGUGUCCAUGGUGACCCAGACAUCAUGGGAACUUCAGGGUUCCAGAGCUGAGUAGAACACAACUCCCAUCCUUAGGGAUUCACCAUCCAGUAGAGGAGAAAGACGUCAAGACAGAAGACAGAAGGGAAAGGAAAAGCUCAAUGCUGUGCCUUCAACUUAGCUUCUCCAUUUUUUGGAGAAGGGUUAAUAGGGGAAGCAGAGAGAGAGAUGAGAGACCAGAGUUUCUAGGGCCUUUAUCUCCAGAGCAGAGGGUCUCAAACCUUAGUGAGCAAAGACUGAUCCAGAAGACUUGUUGGAGGCAUAGCUUCCAGUUCAGCGAGCCAUUUCAGCAGAUUGGAGAUCCCCUGCCUGCAGCACGUGCUGAUCUCCAAGGGUGAGGCUGGAUGAAGCCAGGGGCUAUGGAAAAGGAGACUGUUUCAGAGGACUUGACACCAUCUUCAGUAAUUUCUCUGGUUCUUGGCAGCUCCAUUUGGCUGCGUCCCUACCCUGCAUAACCCUCCCAGCUAGUCUACUCCAGGGCAGCGUCCAGCUGGUGACCUGAGAGGGCAGCAGCGCACCAGUCUCCAUGAAGGUUGAGCUCCGAUGGCCAAUAGCAAUUUCCACCUUGUGGUCUACAACUCUUCAUCCCGACUGCAUGGAGGUUGGUCUCUCUGUUCAGCUGGAUUUAGGCCACCAUCUGAGCCCCCGGGGUACGUUUUGUCUGACCCUGGCACCAUUCGGUUCUUCUACAGCAUCAGUUCUCUUUCCUGCCACCAUGUGAAGAAGGACAUGUUUGCUUCCCCUUCUGCCAUGAAUGCAUCAUGUGUCAUUCUCACAGCUGUUAGGACUUCAAUGAUGUUAUAAGGAAGUUGGGGCUCAGAGAAGCUACAGAACUUACCCAAGGACACACAGCCAUCACGUCUUCCAAUCAAGAGGAACUGUGUUUGAAGAGCUAUUAUUAAAGAACCACCCCUGAGAAGCUUUAUUUUCCCCUGGACCCAAUUGAGAGA